AAAUUUACCUGGCAGGGGAGACACCAAGAUGGUUUUUUUGGGGCAAGUCUCAUCCUCUGCACUCUGGGUGUGCUGACCACUGCAAUUUCCCCAAAUGUGGGAAACUCGACUGCAUAAUUGUUC
rnacentral:snRNA from 1 species